rnacentral:rRNA from 1 species
AUUGAACGCUAGCGGGAUGCUUUACACAUGCAAGUCGAACGAGUGGAGGACGGGUGAGUACUAUAUCGGAACGUGCCCAAUAGAGGGGGAUAACUACUCGAAAGAGUGGAUAAUACCCAAUAACAUUGGAGGGGCAGAUAUCGUAGUAGCUGGGUGGGGGGGUAAAGGCUAACCAAGGCAACGAUCCGUAGAUGGUUUGAGAGGACGACCAGCCAAAAGGGGACUGAGAAACGGCCCAGAGUCCGACGGGAGUCAGCAGUGGGGAAUUUUGGACAAUGGGGGAAACCCUGAUCCAGCCAUCCCGGGUGUAUGAGAAGUCCUCCGGGUUGGAAAGUACUUUUGGCAGAGAAGCGGUAUCUGCAGAAUAAGCACCGGCUAACUACGUGCCAGCAGCCGCGGUAAUUC